UAGGGAAUCAUCGGCAAUGGGGGAAACCCUGACCGUGCAAUGCCGCGUGAGUGAUGAAGGCCUUAUGGGUUGUAAAGCUCUGUUGCGAAGGAAGAACAUGUUAGAUAGAAUCUAGCACUGACGGUACUUCGCCAGAAAGCCAUGGCUAACUACGUGCCAGCAGCCGCGGUAAUACGUAGAUGGCAAGCGUUAUCCGGAUUUAUUGGGCGUAAAGGGUGCUCAGCUGGUUUAUUAAGUCUGUAGUUAAAUUUCGGGGCUCAACUCCGAACUGCUAUAGAAACUGGUAGACUCGAGUACAGGAGAGGGUAGUGGAAUUCCAUGUGAAGCGGUAAAAUGCGUAGAUAUAUGGAGGAACACCAGUGGCGAAGGCGGCUACCUGGCCUGUUACUGACGGUCAAGCACGAAAGCGUGGGGAGCAAAUAGG
rnacentral:rRNA from 1 species